ACGUAUGCGACCAGAGGAAAGCUCCAUGGGAGCUCAAACCCUAACUUCAACAAAUCAACAAAAUUGAAGGAUCAAACCAAGUUCAAAUCGAAAAUGGAGCAUAGAUUACUGAUCCUCAUCACAAGAGGAUCACAAGUUGGCGCUUAACAAGCUAGGUGGAGCUUGGGGAGAAAGCGGGUCAACCGAAUCAAGAAGGAAAAGAAAAGUGUAGCUUGGAUACGAGGUAAGUGUAACUUACACCUUUCGUAGAAUAAUUAGUUAUUCUAUAAGCUUUCUUUUAAUUCGAUAAAAACAAUAUUGGGAAAUAUGGAUUCCCGACGCAAUUGAUACGAGUCGGGGCAUAUGCAAUAUUUGGUAAAAACCAUGAUGAAGGGUAAACAUUGGAAAAUGGUAAUAUCGCCGUAAAUGAUAAGCAUACAAUGAAUCUGGAAAUGUUACCGUAUGGGGUAACUCAUGAUAAGGAAAGGGAUAAAAUGGUAAUUUAGUCCUGUGCCGACAAAUAUAAGUAAAAGUAAUAAGAUACCCUACGGCGUAAGUCGAAAUGGGUUAAAUAACGAAAUGGUAUAUAUAUGUAAAUAUAUACCAUUCUAAAUUCAAAUGCAAAAUGUUUGGUCGUUUAGACCAAACGGGUCAAAGGGUGACUUGUAGUGCCAUUUGACCAAUGACGACUAAUAAGUAUGUGUCAAGUCUUAUGCUUACAGGAUAAUAAUGGUUUAUGGAUUUAAAAUGCUACGAAUUAGCAUAUUAUAGAGGCAAGGUAUCGAAACGGGUCAAUAAAUUGACCCGAGCCAGGUACGCGUAAUUAUAGUUGUGGAUAAUAUACUUUAUGGCUUUAUAUGUGGCGAAAGCCCUUCGUAGUAAAUGACGGGCUAAUGUUGACUAAAAUGCCCUCGAAGGAUAAAUGAGGCAAACAACCCAUAAAGGUUGUUUAGGAACUUAUAUUAAGAUCUUGUAAUCCUUAGACGCGUAUGAAAAUAGUAGGUAUAAACUAUCAAGGGUUAAAUGCCAUAAAAUACGUGUUGUUGCAAAAUAGCAUAUUUGAGGGGUAAGACUCGGGAUAGAUAGUCUAUUACAUUAUACUCACCACAUUCAUAGUUGUGGUGGGAAAACUAAUCAAAGUAAAAGGGCGGGAUUAUGAGGCAUAGAAGAAAUGAGCGAAAUUAGGCUUAAAAGGACAUAAAUGUCCUUAACAGGUCAAAAUAAGCACUUGAGCAUAAACGGGUUUAGAAUGUGUAAUAACCCAUGAUUUGAGCCUUGUACAAUAGGAAACAAUCACAAUGUUAUGUUUACAAAAGAAAUAGGGACCGCAGACAGGUUGUUAGACGAAAUCACAAACGGGUCAAAAGUUGGUAAAAAGGGUAAUAAGCCGAAGAGUUAAAAGUCUUAAUUUUUGAUACCCGGAUGCUGGAUUUUAACUCCAAAUGAUGGAGGAUCAAGUUACAAGUACGUAGGAAGAAACGUUAAAAGUCUUAAUUUUUGAUAAUCCGGAUGCUGGAUUUUAACUCCAAAUGAUGGAGGAUCAAGUUACAAGUACGUAGGAAGAAACGGUAGGUCAAACGGACAAACGGAUUAAACGUUAUGAACGUUGCCGUU
rnacentral:lncRNA from 1 species